GCAGUCCAAGAAUAUUAGUCAAUGCUCGCAAGAGUGAACGAGCUAACUGAAAGAAUAUAUAAUCUAAGGUUAGGAAUCUUAUAAAAAUAUAUAUAUAUAAGAUUAAAUACGAAUCUAACUAACAGUGUCGUCCAACAACUGGUGCCAGAAGACUCGGUAAUACCAGAGACGCGAACGUUAAUCAUCUUGAAUGGGCAUAAAGGGUUUGUAGGCGGCUUAUUUAUUAAUAGGCUAGAAUCUUAGAGAGGUUAAUAAAAUACUUAGAGGAGGGCUGAUAUCCUUAGAUCCUAAGUGGAAUCCUAAUUGCGAAGGCCAUUUUCCACUACAGAUUGACGCUGAAAACGAAGGUUAGGAUAGGAACUAGGAUUAGAGACCCUAUUACCCCUAACUGUAAACGAUGAAUGGCAGAUAUUUACAUUAGUAAGUGUCGAAGUGAAUACGAUAACCAUUCCGCCUUGCCAGUAUACUUGCAAAAGUGAAAACAAAAAAAUUAGUCGGUCCUAAAGCAAACGAAGUGAAGCAUGUUAUUUAAUUC
rnacentral:rRNA from 1 species